rnacentral:rRNA from 1 species
UAAAGUGGCGAACGGCUGAGUAACACGUGGGCAACCUGCCCUUUGCACUGGGAUAGCCUCGGGAAACCGAGGUUAAUACCGGAUACUCCAUAUUUGUCGCAUGGCGAAUAUGGGAAAGGCUCCGGCGGCAAAGGAUGGGCCCGCGGCCUGUUAGCUAGUUGGUGGGGUAGUGGCCUACCAAGGCAAUGAUGGGUAGCCGGGUUGAGAGACCGACCGGCCAGAUUGGGACUGAGACACGGCCCAGACUCCUACGGGAGGCAGCAGC